rnacentral:rRNA from 1 species
UCAACGGGAGGCAGCAGUGGGGAAUAUUGGACAUGGGGGGAACCUGAUCCAGCCAUGCCGCGUGUGUGAAGAAGGCCUUAUGGUUGUAAAGCACUUUAAGCGAGGAGGAGGCUACUGAGACUAAUACUCUUGGAUAGUGGACGUUACUCGCAGAAUAAGCACCGGCUAACUCUGUGCCAGCAGCCGCGGUAAUA